AAAGUCGUAACAAGGUAACCGUAGGUGAACCUGCGGUUGGAUCAUUUCCGAAUCUUGCCUGGUCGAAUCGACCGGCAGACCCACACCUGUGAACCGACAUACGUGCUUGGCAGCGGGAGCCUCGAGCUCCGGGUCGGAGACGCCGUCCACCCUCGGUGGGUCGGUUCCCCGGCCAUGCUGCCGCGUUAACUUACACAUCCUGCCUGAACCACAACCCUCGUCCUCGGACGACAAAACCAAAACAACUUUCGACAACGGAUCUCUUGGCUCUC
rnacentral:misc_RNA from 1 species